rnacentral:rRNA from 1 species
UACGUAGGGGGCAAGCGUUGUCCGGAUUUAUUGGGCGUAAAGAGCGUGUAGGCGGCUUUACAGGUCCGCUGUGAAAGUCGGGGGCUCAACCCUCGAAUGCCGGUGGAUACUGUCGGGCUAGAGUGCGGAAGAGGCGAGUGGAAUUCCUGGUGUAGCGGUGAAAUGCGCAGAUAUCAGGAGGAACACCAAUGGCGAAGGCAGCUCACUGGGACGGUAUUGACGCUGAGACGCGAAAGCGUGGGGAGCAAACAGG